rnacentral:rRNA from 1 species
GAUGAACGCUGGCGGCGUGCCUAAUACAUGCAAGUCGAGCGAACGGAUAAGAAGCUUGCUCCUUUGAUGUUAGCGGCGGACGGGUGAGUAACACGUGGGUAACCUACCUAUAAGACUGGGAUAACUUCGGGAAACCGGAGCUAAUACCGGAUAAUAUUUCGAACCGCAUGGUUCAAUAGUGAAAGAUGGUCUUGCUAUCACUUAUAGAUGGACCCGCGCCGCAUUAGCUAGUUGGUAAGGUAACGGCUUACCAAGGCGACGAUGCGUAGCCGACCUGAGAGGGUGAUCGGCCACACUGGAACUGAGACACGGUCCAGACUCCUACGGGAGGCAGCAGUAGGGAAUCUUCCGCAAUGGGCGAAAGCCUGACGGAGCAACGCCGCGUGAGUGAUGAAGGUCUUCGGAUCGUAAAACUCUGUUAUUAGGGAAGAACAUAUGUGUAAGUAACUGUGCACAUCUUGACGGUACCUAAUCAGAAAGCCACGGCUAACUACGUG